rnacentral:rRNA from 1 species
UACGUAGGGUGCGAGCGUUGUCCGGAAUUAUUGGGCGUAAAGAGCUCGUAGGCGGUCUGUCGCGUCUGCUGUGAAAUCCCGAGGCUCAACCUCGGGCUUGCAGUGGGUACGGGCAGGCUAGAGUGCGGUAGGGGAGAAUGGAACUCCUGGUGUGGCGGUGGAAUGCGCAGAUAUCAGGAAGAACACCGAUGGCGAAGGCAGUUCUCUGGGCCGUAACUGACGCUGAGGAGCGAAAGCGUGGGGAGCGAACAGG